UACGAAGGGGGCUAGCGUUGCUCGGAAUUACUGGGCGUAAAGGGCGCGUAGGCGGCACUGUUAGUCAGGCGUGAAAGUCCUGGGCUCAACCUGGGAACUGCGCUUGAUACGGCAGAGCUAGAGGAUGGAAGAGGGUCGCGGAAUUCCCAGUGUAGAGGUGAAAUUCGUAGAUAUCGGGAGGAACACCAGUGGCGAAGGCGGCUCUCUGGGCAGAUACCGACGCUGAGACGCGAAAGCGUGGGAAGCAAACAGG
rnacentral:rRNA from 1 species